GCUCACGAUGCUCCCAGAGGUUCCAUGCUUCCACCUGUCCACCCGCCACUGCUUCUCUGCAGCACCCUGAGCUCCCUCUUGCUGUGUACCAUGUUUCUGGAGAGUUCGCCAUGCUGUGGCAUGGAGCCCGGGCCGGGGCGUUUGAUCUCAAGGCUGCUGUUCUGGAGGUCAUGACCGCCUUCCGCCGUGCAGGUGCCGACGUCAUCAUCACCUACUACACGCCUCAGCUGUUGCAGUGGCUGAAGGAGGACUGACGGGGACCGUGCACAAGACCAAGAGCUAGAACUUUUAAAAGGUCCCCGGGCCUUGGAGAAGCGAAAACCAAAGUAAAUGCUGCUUUUGAACUGUG